GGCUUCGUAGCUCAGCUGGUAGAGCAUUUGCAGCAUUUCGGCACGUUGUUUCUGUUGCUGGUUCGUAUCCAGCUGAAGUCC